AUACAGGGGGUGCGAGCGUUAAUCGGAAUUACUGGGCGUAAAGAGUACGUAGGCGGUUGCUUAAGUCAGAUGUGAAAGCCCCGGGCUCAACCUGGGAACUGCAUUUGAAACUGAGUGACUAGAGUUUAAGAGAGGGGAGUAGAAUUCCGGGUGUAGCGGUGAAAUGCGUAGAGAUCCGGAGGAAUACCAGUGGUGAAGGCGGCUCCCUGGCUUAAAACCGACGCUGAGGUACGAAAGCGUGGGUAGCAAACAGGAUUAGAAACCCUAGUAGUCC
rnacentral:rRNA from 1 species